AAUUUUAUUAAAAAAGGUAAAUAAUCUUUAAUAUUUCAAUUUUCUCCUAAGUCCCUCCCCUGCCCUGUAGAGCUCAGCCAAUAUUUCUGCAAGCCUAACGCGUUGACCAAUAGCGCUGCGUUUCCACCAGGGGGCAGCUGUCAAUCAUCGAGCACGAGCAGGUCUCAGCGUGCACAACAGUGUCACGCGCCUCACUCGGCUUACUGCAGAAACAUGGAGCAACAAAACCCCAAAUUACCGAUUCCUCGACUGCCUUCCACAUCUCAGAAAACAUUUAAAAAGUUUAAAAGCCUUUCUUCAAAAGUGGCUGUAAGACGUUUGAGACAGUCGAGUAGAAUUUACAUUGGAGAUUGUUUUACACACGAUGGAGAGAUUUUCGUGAUCUACACGGCCUGAAAACGGAUGAAGAGUUGGCAAAGUAUCUUUUAGACAGUCAUCAGUCCAAAUAUGAAGCAUCAACAUAUACACCAUUGAAGCGCCAACUGUGUAUUUCUCCAACACCAGUGCCAGCUCUGUCUAGCAUUCAUGGAGAAUCAUCUGAAAGGGAUGAUAAUUUGGAGGAGGUGAUGGAACAAGGUGAAACUAAAAAAGAAGGAUCUUCACAAAUGUUAUCUUGUGUGGGAAUUGAAGCAAACAUUGACGAGGAAGAGUUCAACAAUAUUCAAAACUCUGAUAGAGUCAUCAGAUGACACGUGGUCACCAAACAGAGAACCAGAAGUUGAUUCGUCUUCAGAGGAGGACGAAACCAUCGAGAUGGACAGCGGUACUGAUGACCGCGGUGAUGAGGACUACACACCUUAUAUACACAUAAGGUAAUUCCUUUCGUUUAACAUUCUAUAAAACUGCAAUAGCGCAUAGUUAAUAAAAAGCUUUUGUUCACAGGACUGGAGCAGCAUUACAAUAAACAUUACAACUUGAGACUCUGCAAGAAAUUAACAUAGAGGAUACAGUUCAUGACUGUAAUAUCCCAGAAGCAACUGACCGACGCUUGACAAGCAAGAAAGGUCUUCCUCGACGCUACAAGCUAAGGCCUGAGGGUCCAAGGCGUUAUGGUUUGCUGUCCGGAGUUCCUGCACCAUCAACAGAGGAACUUCUACAACACCUACGGACUUGCGGUGAUGGUAAAACUUUGCCACAGACAUAGGUGUUGGGGGAGGCAAGAGAAAACCCAAAACCUUCUUUAUUUUUGUUUCCUGUGUUUUUUUUUUUUGAAAAUAAAGAUAUAUUUUGGGGAA